AACCCNGAAACUAAGCGAGCUACUUUNAAACAGCCUAUUGGGCUAACCCGUCUCUGUGGCAAUAGAGUGGGGAGAUUUACAAGUAGAAGUGAAAAGCCUAUCGAGCUUAGAAAUAGCUGGNUAUUCAUGAAAAGAAUAUAAGAUCUGCCUUAAGUAUUAUUAUGAUACCCAAACAACAUUCUAAACUUAAGAGUUAUUUAAAUAAGGAACAGCUUAUUUAAACCAGGACACAACCUAGACAACCGGGUAAAGUCUCAAUUUAUACCAAGUGGGCCUGAAAGCAGCCAUCUUUUAAAAAGCGUCAAAGCUUAACCCAGAACCCUUAAAAUACCAUUAACCCCACUGAACCCCUAUUUUAUAAUGAAUGACUCCAUACAAUUAUGGAAGACACCAUACUGGGAUUAGUAACAAGAACCUAUAGUUCUCCGCAAUGCAAAUAUACACCAACCCGGAUAAACCAUUGGUAAUUACCGAAUCUGAGCUUUAUGCACCAACACUCGCAAGAAAACCCUGCAAUACUCACUCGUUAACCUAACACCAGCGCAUUACAGGAAAGAUUUAAAGAAAGAGAAGGAACUCGGCAAAUAACAACCC
rnacentral:rRNA from 1 species